rnacentral:lncRNA from 1 species
CUAGGCUCCUCAGGAGACAAGUUGCUUCUUCCUCACUAGCUGAAAUGAUGAGCUACACCGGGGGCUGCUGUCCUGGAUCGAUUGAAUGUGCUGAUGCCCUGACACCCUUUGCAGAUACCAGACGUAUUUAGUACUUAGGGCAUGCCUCCAUACUGCUCUGUUUAUUCUGAGCCUCCUAGAAACCAUAUGUCUGUGAUUCAUGGGGCAUUGAGCCUGGGCUAAUCAGCUAUGUUGACAGGCAGGGUAUAUUUUAUUGAGCUUAGUGCAACCUUAAUGUUGUCGUGCUGUUUCCAGAAUACUUUGUGUGGAUGUGCCUGUGAUCAGAGGAGCUUAAAGUGACUUGGAAUUUGUCCCUGUCCAGUUCAGACAGCGUGACCUUUAAAGAGACUGUGAAGCAAUACUUCUUCCUUUUUCCUCUGUGCCCAAAGGCCAAUCCAGGACAAGGAGGUUUUGAAGGGACACAAGAAAAACAGAGCCAAAGUAAACACCAGCAAGGAAAGAGGAGCGGGGAGGAAGAAACAGAAAUAGCGGUGGAAAUCUGUCAGGGAGUAACCUCAUCAAGCAAGUGGUGUGCUUUUACUGCUGCUCAUCAUAGCCUUGCAGGGGGGAAAGGAGGCUGGCAGACCUCUGUGUGGAGAUUCAGAUGGAUCACUUUACCAGCUGUCAAGGCCAAUACUUCUGUACAGUCCCUGCUCUCAGCAACAUCCUCAGUGUCCUGGUGGUGGGGUGUCUUGGAAGGACUGUGCAGAUCAAGCUUCACACUCCCUCUGCACUUGAGGCUCUCUCUGCUGAGGCAAUGAACACAGACCUAUACUUCACACUGGUUUAUCACAGGAAUUUUUCCAGUCCCUGUUCAAACAGCUUCUGCCUGAGCAUCUCUGAACAGCCAUUUGGAGCAACUGGAAAGCAGACACAUCACAGAAACAAAGCUGGCAGCAGAAAGCUGCACCAUUCGGAAGAAGCAAGGCAGUCUUUCCUCACAGCUACGAUGCUGCACCGCUUUCGACAGAACCUGCUUUUCCCUCCAUUUACCUGGGCGGCUGCUGCUCUUUCUGCUGCUGCUGGGGCUGCUGCAGUCCUGCUGCCUGCACUUCCCCCUGGCUUGGCUGGCUCGAAACUCUCUCGUCUGCACAUUGCUAAGGAAGAAGAGCGAUGGAGCCGCGGAUUUUUUUUAUUGGUUCUGGAAGCCAAGGGUUGCAAUAUGUGA